UACGUAGGGUGCGAGCGUUAAUCGGAAUUACUGGGCGUAAAGCGUGCGUAGGCGGUUCGUUAAGUCAGCUGUGAAAGCCCCGGGCUCAACCUGGGAAUUGCGGUUGAAACUGGCGAACUAGAAUCUGGCAGAGGGGGGUGGAAUUCCACGUGUAGCAGGUGAAAUGCGUAGAGAUGUGGAGGAACACCGAUGGCGAAGGCAGCCCCCUGGGCUGAGAUUGACGCUCAGGCACGAAAGCGUGGGGAGCAAACAGG
rnacentral:rRNA from 1 species